CAUGUUGCUCUAAGAUUAAGGUUAUGUUUUGCAGUGCCAGCAGGACUCUUCUGACCCCUCUAAGCAGAGGAGGCUGAGGAUGGAUGCAGGCUGGAACCCAGCAUAUUUUUGCUUUUAGAAAGAGAUUCAGGUUUCAUAUUCUGGGCAAAACAGGCUGGGGCCAGGGAUUUUACUGCUGCUGUCUGUGUGACGAAAAAUGGACUUCAUGAUCUGGAGCUGCCUGGUUUGGUCCUGUACACACUGCUGGCUUUGCAGACCAAUCAAGAUGCAGUUUUAUCCUCUUGUGGAGCCCUGCAGAAGCCCUCUGUUUUAGCACUGGACCUUCAUUUCUGAAGUCUGAAAACAUUUCAGCAUCUUAAGUUCUCUUGUUUUGGUGAGAUGGGGAGAAACUGAUUUCUCAGAACCUCCUGAUCAGAAUGGAGCUGGUACCUUUUUCACUGCCCUUCAAAAAAUUUUCUGGACAAAAACGUUUCUUUCUAGCAAUACUUCACAUAUAUUUCUGAGACUGAAAAACUGAAGCUGGGAUUGCUUCAGAACAGAAGCAUCAGAUCCACUUUCAGUGUCUUGCCGUAGGAAAGCUAGGAGUCACAAAUGUGAGUGAGCCAGUGGCAGCAGUAAGGAAACUUUGGACUGAGAUUCCCCCAGACCUGAGGUACUGUGAAUUAUUUGUCUCAUCCUGGCCCUGCUGGGUCCCCAGAUUGUCUGUCCUCAGCCUGGUGCUCCUUCUUGAGAUUUGAGAGAAUCACAUCUCCUUCCUCCUCGCCCCUCCUGCUGCUCAGGACACAGCAGCUCCGUGCUGCAGUCUGGGCACUGGAAGAGACUCGUGUGUGCAGCUCAGUGCGAACAGACUGGGGGAGAAGGUGGGUUAGGAGGAGAGAGAACAUCUGCAAUCCGUGGGAGAACUAUAGAAGAAAGUAAUGAUGUUGCGGCCAGCGAGGUGGAACAACCCAGGUACAAGGAGGCACCAGGCUGGAGCCUGCUGCUGGCACAGCAUGAACAGAUGGUGCCGACAGGCAGGAAGGCGAAGGUGUCAGCUCUGCCAGGGCUCCCUGAAUCCACUGACAUGAAGUGCAGGGCCACAGCCAGCUGUGGGGUCAUCGUCCCUCCCCGGGGUGGACGGCUGUGCCCAGCACACCAGCCCCGACCUCUGGGCAGGGGGGGAGGCAGGUGGGCCCUCACCGUGCAGCAGUGCGCUCGGCUGCAGCUCUGCUCGGAGGACGGAAGCGGAGGGCUUGGUGGUGGGAGGCACCAGCAGUGCAGCAGGGUGAACAGAAAGCUGCUUCUGCAUCAGCACACGCAUCUCCAGAACGACUGUGCCUGGCUGAGCAGGACCUGCGUUUUCCUGGUGGCCAUUGUUUAAUUAGGCUGUUGUUGAUGCUGACACUGUGUAUUUUCUUUGCUCUAUCUCCUUUCUUUCUUUAUUAUUUCCUACUUUGGUUUGAUGUUGUUGGUAUAUAAAAUUUAAAGAGCUCUAAAUUUUUUUAAAGGCCCCUAAAGGGAACGGUGCGUUUUGUGUUAAAGUCAUUACAUGAACACCUGUGAACCGUUGAGUUUAAUUGGGCUACAGCUGCUGGGGAGCGAGUGGGGAUUUAUUGGUUUGAUCGGCUGUCUUCAGGCUGUGGCGCGUUGUCAGGCACUGCCCUUCUAACUUGUCUGCUUAAACAGGAGCCACACGUACACAUUAGCUGGCUGUGGGCACUGUGGAUCCUAGGGAUGGGGCUGUGAUGGCACAGUAAUGGUUGCAAGGGCACCAUGUGCUUAUCAGAGCUGGAGAGGUGGAAUGGGGAAACCUGCAUCGUACCAGUGGUGGAGACAGACUGUGCCCAGUCCUUCUGCGCCCCCCUCCUCGCCCACGUGGGAGGCAGUGGCUGGGUGAUGCUUACCUGGCUGCACCCUGGGGCCAGGAGCCUGCUGAGCUCUGCAGCAUCUGGUGGGCGGCUGAGCGCUGUGCCCAUCCCUGCGUGUGAGAGCUGCCCGCCUCAGGUGACACUUUCCUUGGAAGCCACGACUGCUUUGGGCACUUUGAGGAUGGGCAUGGCAUUUAAGAAGUAGCCUGUUUUGUUCCUACUAUUUAUUUCUCCCCUGGUCUCUCUUGCUUAUUCUCAUAUAUACGUGCAUGCAACCACUUUGUCUCCAAAGCAUAAUUGCCUAUUGCCCUGCCUGUUGCAAAUGGGCUGCCCCACUGACCAUUGUGCCCUUUACAGUGUUUGCUGAAUACUCAAGGUCAGGAAACAAAGCUGUUGAGGGAGUCAGGCUAGCCUCUCAGCUACAAGAGACAACAAAACCUUGUGCUUGCCUAGCAAUCCAGAGCUUGUAUCUGCCAAGCAGCUCUUGAGCUUUGGUUAAAAAUAAAGAAAGGACUCUUGGGUUCACCUCUCCAGGCAGUGGCUGGGAACAAGCUGCUGCUGCUGCCCCGAGUGUGACUGAGCUGCACUGCGUGAGGCAUCGGCAUCUUUUUGCUCUGCUCGUUUCUGAAAUAGUCUUCAUGAGAGCAUCAAUUUCUCCUAAGUUUUGUCUUUUUUUCUGACUUUGCUGAGGGUCAUUACCUCCCAAAUACAUAUUCUGAAACUUGAGUUACUGAACGUGGCAGAAAGUACAUGGAAACGGUUUCUGUUCAGAUGCUGUGGUUUUGUGCUUUUGAGUCUUUCUGAACUUCAUGGCAUCCUCUCUGGUGCUGCUGAUGACAUGCAAGAGCAAGUUGCUGUGUCCACGUCAGCCGUUCGCCUUUUCCUGAGCGAACUCCAGGCACGUGUGUGGGCUCCUCUCAGGCCAUCCGCUGGUGCCGGUGCUGUGCUGUGAGCAGUGGCAGAGCAGGGAGAGAGCCUAUUGCUUGGCUAGACCCUCCUCCUUCCCCUUCACUGCACGUCUCUGACAGAUUGUAGAUGAGGGUAAGAAAUUUGGCAAAGCGUAAUUAAUAAUACUGAGCAGAUCUGGAGUUUGGAAGUCCUGGCUCCCAUCACCUCCCCUCACCGCUGCGCAGCCCAGCGCAUUUCUCUGGGCACCUGUCAGAUCAGCGCCGAAAACACUGCUUAAACCUUACAUUUAAUCAGGCAGUCAGUGGAGACGCUUCGGAGUUUGGAUAUAACAGAAUUUACAUAGAAGAUGGCCUCUGGUGGAAGUUAAUUGGCCCUGCGUUUCCUCUGCAGAAAACCCCCACUGUAAAAUAGCAGUUUGCAAGAGAGCAGCAUUAAAUCAAAGAACUGUAGAAAGAAAUCGCGCUGUCUGCGAGGAUUGUGAAACUUUGUUCCCAGACAGUAUAACUUCUCGUUUGACCUGUACAUAUCCCACAGUCAAACAUGAAGGGCUUUGGACUCUAAUACCAGCUGUGGGAAUGUGAUCCCUUGGCUAGUUUGCAGCUGUUCAGCACUCUCUCAAGAUACGCUGGAAUUUCUAAGUUCAAUUGAACAAGGCAGUGAAAAUAAGUGUGGAGGGUUUUAAUAUCGAUCUAUGAAGAUUAUGAUGUUCAUAGGCAAAUAAACACUUUUGUGUUAUGUCUUCUUGCACAAAGGGCACAGCGUAACAUACUUUUCUUUUAGACUGUGGAAAACUGUAGUGGGAAAGAACAGAAGGCAGGUCCCCGUGGCAGCACGGCGUGCGUCUGCACACACAUGUCUGUCAGUCUUCUGCAAAUGGUUGAAGACACUCUGCAAACAAAGUGGUUGUUGAGCUGUGCGUAUGGGAGAGUUCUUACAGUCAUACAGAUGCAGCCCGUGGAAAGCAAUGGGCUGCACAGUCCAUACAGCCUCACUCCUAGAAGUGUGUUUUCUGAUCUUUGGAGACCCCCCCGCCAUUUUAGGCUGUUGGGUAAGGAGGUGAGUCAGCCACGUUAGGGUCCUUUUCAUCCCAUUUCAUUGUGUUAAGCAGGCAGUAGCACUGGAACUGCACAGCCCAUCUCAGUGCUAACUCAACAGCACUGCUUAUUUCUCCGUCUCUUUAAAACCUGUGUAAAAGUGAACCUGCUGGGGCUGUGCAUUAGUUUGCUUUAGAGUCCACAAGCGGUUCCUUUCCCAAGAAGGCCAGCACAUCACUGCUCUGGCCGGUACAAAGUAGAGCUGUAGGAGAUUCUGUAGAGAAUCUGCCAUUUUUAAUGAUUUUCUUGUUCUUCCUUCAUAUAAGAGAUCUGUCCAAAGAGCAGUGCUCAUAGAGGCGUGUUUCCCUGGGGGUCUGUGAAGUGAUUCCUCUUCUUAGCGCCCUGAUCUGGUAUCUCCUUCUCUGUGUCAUGAGUCCAGCAUGUUUAGCAUAUUACACGUUUUGUUUGAAUUGAAUUGGUAUUUCUGCAACUGUAUCAUGUGAUCACCAACAUUUAAGUGGUUGUUCCAGGAUUAAUAGUUCUUUCUCUGCUUUUUGGACUGUAGCUUCCUUUUGCAGGAGGGGCAGGAAAUCACAUCCUGUGCUUUACACUCACAGCCUUGGCUUUUACCCAGAGGAGAGCAGGAUUUAGUGCUGCUGAUGCUUGUAUCUUGCUCAGAUUGUUCAUAGUGACAGGAGAUGAGCUGUCGUGCAGGAGGGCGGGGAGUCCCUGAGACCCCAGGAACUGAGGCGCUCUGACUGAGCCCUGCUGACUUCAGGCUCGCUGUGGCUUUCGGAGCAGGGACGGCAUUUCCUAAAUAUGAGUGUGGAGUGCAGCCAGUUUGUACACAGCUGGGGCAUGGCAGUCCCAGGGCACCAUCCAUGCUGAAGGGUGUGGGUUUGGGAAUGCUGCCCAACCACUGGCUGUGCCCACACGCAGCUCCCAGCAGCCGCUGUGCAGGGUUUCUGGGUGGCAGACCUGCAGGCAGUGAGCUGCCUAUCAGACUGGGCUAUAGGUACAUCAGCAUCCUUCUGACACUGAGUCUGACAUAUGUUUGUGUCUCUUUGGCCUCCGAAGCUGAAACAGAACUGAAGAGGCCCCUCUUGUUUAUUGCUCAAGAGACUGCAAGCAUUUCUUCACUCUUACCAUUGCUGCUUGUCACUUAGCAAGGCCCUGCAGGCUCUCCCUGGCAAGCAUCAAAUACAAACUCUCCCUUCCUGCAGCCCGUGAUGUCCACAGAGCACAGCUCUGCCCUUCCACGUGGCUGCUCCCAGCCACAGUUCUCUGUUUCUCAGAACCUGUUGCUGACAUGAGCAGGGGGCUGUAUGGGUCAGUGGAGCAGCAGGAAGCCAAGACUUGCCCCCAGUGCUUUGGCUACUGAGUGGACCUGUCUCUCUGCAACCUCAGUGGACGGUUUCAAAAGUCCUUGCUGGUUUUCCAGAUUUAAAUCUCUUUGACUUCUGGAUUUUGGCCACGGAUGGUCCCACUGCAGCAUGGCUGCCAAGCACUGUCUUUGCCACGGGCUGCAUUGGAUGUGGCCCUUCAGCGGUUUCCUUGGAAGCAGGAUAUUGCAAAGCUGAGAAACUUGAAAACCAGAGAACUUAGUGAGAUCAUGUAAGGAACUGCAGCACAGGGCUGUUUGCCCUCUGCAAAACAGAGUGGGGCACGCAGUGCUACAGGCGGACGGUGUUUGGGUGCUGGUGCGCACUCUUAGGUUAACCUGAUGAAAUGCAACAGGGUAGAGAGGAAAUGAAAGAUUUUGUACAAACUAUAGGGGCAACAUAUGGCAGACUGGAGAUGGGGAGACCUUGGAGAGCAGUUCGUGGCCACAAAGAUUCUCAGCCUGUUUUACAGCACAGCUGCUCUGAACAAAAGAGCCUGUCUAGAUCGCUCUUGUGUUAGCUAAUGCUGGUGACAGGAAGUUUGGAAAAUGUCUGAAAUAUUGCUCGUUAAAUGGGCAAAUGCAGCACUCAGGUUUGAAACGUACUGAUCGAAUGUGUUGGUCAUAACGGUCACGGUUAUGAGAUGUGUCAACAAUUUAACAGAGUGGGUGCGAAAGCAGGGAACAGUGGGACCAGAAGAGCAGAGCAAGCACUGUGUUCUGCUUAGGGCUGCACGCUUCCCUUGCAGGAGAAAUUUGUCCAGCUUGUGUGAAUGAAAUUAAAAAGGCAGAGCAGAGAGGGUAUGUGGUUGAGCCACCCAAAUGGACUUCUGAGUGCCCCAGUUUGGGUUUUUUGCAGAGAGUCAAUGAAAAUCUCUUUUUUCUGGAGCUGAGUUCACAGCUGCAAGCAGCAGAUGGUUCCAUGAGUCUCAUGAGCAGGGAACACCCUGACUUUGGUGAUCAACAGAUCUAAUGAGUGAAUGUGGUUCAGAACUGGUGGUGCAAAAUUUCUUAAUAAAUCAUGUGAAAGUGUAAUCUGGGAAAUAAUAUUGAGAGUUCUUCUGAUGAAUGGCUCUGCAGGUACACAAGCAGGGAUCAGUAGGAUCUCUGUUUUUAUAGAUUUAGGCUGGAUUUGCAGAGGGGCAUGAAGGAAUAUCAUCAAUCAGGCAAGUAUUUUCAAUAAUGCUUGUGAGUUUAUAUUCUUGCUUGGCAUUCUUAAAAUAACCGCGGAUGGGAGGAAUAUUUGAGUCUGGGUUACACAGCAACUGCUGCUGCUUCGAGUACAGGGAGCAGCGCUGCUGUAGGGGAGGCAGUGAACUUCUGAAACUGGCCUACAAAGGAAGAUAGUUUUGAUGGACUCUUUGUGACAGGCGUACGGUAAGUUCGCUGCCUGGAGUUGGUCUUGCCCUGCUCGGCAGCACGGUGAGGUCUCUUGGACGGCAAACAAAAGCCUGUCUGUUUCCCGUUCUUGAAGUAAGGGAUGAUUCCCCUUCCAGCUGAACAGUAAGAGCAGAGCUUUCUGUACAGUUGCUGUCACAUUGCUGCCUGUGUAUUUCUGCAGGCACACGGCGAUUCUGAGCAUUCGGUCUCUGGGUGUGGAGGCAGGAGCUCCUUCAGCAGCACUGUUGAAAUUUCGGCUCCAUGAGACCCAUUUGUUUCAGAAGCUGCGCGUACAGCAACGCCCACUGCUGUGACUCCAGCGCCUGGAAAGGACUCCUGCUCAGAAAAAUUACCGGCACGUAAUGAGUGGGGCUGCCUUAGCCGGGCUGGCUUUGAUCUUUGCUCAAGAACUGGUUUAGGAUAAUAACGGGCUGACAUAAAAUACAAAUGGCCACUUUGUGAGACAAAGAUGAUUGCUUGUGUAGAGCUUUGGCUACUGUGCAAUUCAUUUCUUUUCACAGCCGUGCAGCUAAUACCUAAGAGUCAUUUGCAAGAUAUUUCUGAUCUACAUAGUGGCCCCACCUUUCCUGCAGCUGCCAGUGGAAAGCCAGGUCGGCUGGGGGCUUACAGUGAUAGCAAUGAAUAAUACAUGAUCUGCAAUCUGGGCUCCCUUUGCCGUGCUGUUCGCAGGCUGCAUCUUUUUCUGGCUUAAGCAAUCGCCGUUUCAGUGGCUGUGCUGGAAUGUGGUUGUGUUCCUCCUGCGGUAACCGUGCAGGGAUGGCCGGAGCCGCGUGUGGGUUCCUGGGGAUGGGUUAUGGCUGUUGGAAGUGCUCUGUGCUGCUCAUCCUCGUGCAGCGUGGUGGUGGGGCAGAAAUAUACGAAGGAACUGAACUUGGUGGAGGAGCAAGCUGUGUUUCUCUGUGUUUGUUUUUUUUCUUUUUCUUUUUUUCAACCCUGUUGGCUUUUGGCUCUCUCGAUUUCACAGCUCUCGGGGAACCCGUUACAGUCCGUAGCGUUUCGUUUGGGCUGUGAGUUUGCCAUCUAGCGGCUGCUCUGUUUGUCAGGGAGCUCCGGCCGGCCCACGGCCUCAGGGCUGUGCUGUGCGGGAUGGGGAUGGGCUGUGCUGGGCUGUGCUGGGCUGUGCUGGGCUGUGCGGUGCUCAGAACAGCUCUGGCAUUCCGAGCAUCGUUCUGCAUCGUGUGUGUGCUUCUAUGGGAGCAGGGAGGAGCAGAUGGGCAAAAAGCAGGUAGAAGUAUGGUGAGAAAGCACUGCAGUAGCUUCUUCUGCCUCCUUCUCCUCCCAGGUUUGGCAGAAGCAGGCUUGGUUGUGUUUGCUGUGCCGGAUACCAGGAGAAAUGACGUGCUGCUCCAUGCAUGCCUGCUCUGUGCCUUUCUCCUCCAUGAUCUCAUGUAUGAAUCAAAGCUUGCCUACAGGUGGUGAUCGAGCCCCAAAGGCUUAUCACUUACCAAGCAACUGUCUGCAAUUAUUUGUUUGUCCUCAGUAGCCAGCUUAGUUACUUAUUGAUAUCUCAUGUUUGUCUCCCCAUGUUAUAAUGAAAAGGAAGAGAUAAAAGCCCCGUUUCUGCUUGAAGUGCCAAAUUAGCUAAGGAUGGUGACACUGCUACUAUUUUCUCAUGUGCUCGGAUAGACACUCACACCGUUGCUCCUUAUAGGCAGGGGUAGCUUGUUACCUGGGACGAGGCUGCCUGUACUGCAUGAGCUGCAAGCCAGGAGCAUGUGAAAUAUUUACUAGGCAGUUAAAAUACUGGAGAUGCUGCCUUGCCAGAUCAGAUGUCACACCAGGAGUCAGCGUGAAGGAAGCAGUUCUCCAGGGUGGCUGUGGUGGAGCCUAAAGCAAUCAGCAAGGCCAAGGGUUGGCUUUCAGGAGGCACUUCCUGAAGCAUUUGUAAAACCUCCUGAAAGAGUCAGUGCCAUCCUCUGAUCUGGGGCUGCAUGCGCAUGAGUUCAGCGGUACCUCUGGGUCUGGUGAUGUCGGCCAGGAGCAGCUCUUGGCAGAGCAGUGAAUGUGCACGGGUGGCACUCACCUACCUCAGCAUCUCCUGGGAGGCGGUGGGACUGGGCCCUUCCUCCUGCUUUUCAGUAGCCACUGUGCUUUAGAGGGUGAGAAAAGAGUCAGCCAAGGCCCUGAACCCAUUGCACUGGACAAAAGGAGGGCGCUUCAGGUGCCCUCCGAGUCUCUGUCACGGGUGGCUGGUUGAGAGCUGUUUGUAGAUGGAGGGGGAACUUGCUGAUCUCCGAUGCACAGCAGGAUAUGGAUUUUUGGCAAUAUAUAAGAUGCCUGUUCUUUUUAGUAGCAACAUUAAGGCAGAUAUCCUUGAGACACUAACUUGGACCAUGUGCUUCCCUUUCCUUGCCUUCCUCUGCAGCAAAAAGAAACAGCUGUUGAAAUAUUUUUAGUUAUAAUCUAGUGGAUAUGAAAAAAAACCAUGUGCCUGUGCCUUGCUGUCUUUAUGGCUGUGCCUACAGCCAGACCACCGGCACUGGGAGCCCAUCAGGCGGCAGGAGGCGGAGGGACGGUGCCCAGCCACCUGUGGCUCGCAGGCAGCAGUAGGGGUGGCUCAGGAGGAGCUGCCUGCAGCUUCCAGGGCAGCAGAGACAGGACUGUGGCUUCUGCUGGGCCUGGGCAGGUGGUUGGAUGGUGGCCCCUGAGCACCUCUUCCUGCCGCUUCCCUUCCCGGCCACCGCAGCUCUGCAGGGUCCCAUCGUGCCUUCUGCUUGCACAGGUUUUUAGUUAGGUUUUAGGGUCCAGCUGCAAAUCACAGUGCCUGCAGUUUAUAACCUGCAGGGAUUUUUUUUUUUGUAUGUAUGUGUGUUAAACUGUUGUAAAAUGAUGUCCACAGAUACUCUGAGCAGACCACAGCAUUCUGAUGGAAGCCAGGGCUUGAAUCAAAACCACCUCAUUUCCCCCCAAACGCUGUGUCUCAAUAGACUUGCCUGGAUCCCAUUAGAAAUGUGUUAAUCGGAGAAGAAUGACACACAUCUCUGCUCUGAGGUAUGUAUAAAUUUGGUGUGACAUUGAAGGAGACCCUGGAGGUGGGAUGCCUGCACCGCUGCUGCCAGCAUGUGGCUGAGUCCCUCCUUAACUCCAGCACUGAUGAUGUCCUCCUCCCACGGCUCCCAUAGUUUUCUUGUCCUGAGGCUGUCCCAGUAGAGGGCAUUUAGUUUCUUUUGCUUGGCUUCGCGGUGUGAAAGCAAUAGUUGAGCUUUCUCUCCUAACAGAGGAGUAACUUUUUAUUUUUUCCCCUGGCAAGAGGAAAAGUGAUAAUGGAAAGAAGUUUUCUGAUCUCUUCCUGAAGUGUGGCACGGUCACACGGCAAGGCCUGUUUUGUAUAGAAGGCAUCAGCAGGUGGUACAGUUGCGUGCAGCAUCCGCGACAUUUCCGUACGGAUAUGAGAGAACUGUCAGCCCAGGGAGGAGUUGGCUCUGCGUGGCCCAGGGAGGUCGAGGUCAGCGCUCUCCUUGGCCACAUUCCCAGGACAGGGCUUGUGGGACCCCGGCACCCAGGGCAGCCUGCGCUGACGGGAAGAGGCUCGCGGGUGUCCUGUGGGUACGUGACUAAGCGCUGUGGUAUUUGGUGGGGCUUUACUUCCAGAUGUUGAGAGAAACAGAGUUUGGUGCAAUUUAAGCUCUCAUUUUAGAAAAUAUAUUUCUAAUCUUUGUGGUUACGUGAGAACUUUUUAAAACAUGAAAUGAAUGCAGCCUGCUGGCUCAGAGACCAGAAAGCAAAAAGGAGGAGAAAUGGAAGUCUCUCUGCACUGUGCCAGGAGCGCUGCGGUCGUCGGGGCGCUGACGGAUGGGCUGCGUGCUGCCCUGCUCACUGCAGGGCUCAGGGCACGGCGCUCCCCUCUGACGGUGCCGCUGUCUGAGCGCAGCCCCGCUGCUGUGGCAGCCGCAGCCCUGGGAGGACCAUCGUGGGGUGCAGCGCUGCAGCAGCCGUUUAAGAUGUACUCUGCGGAUUCAUCAACUUGUGCUUUAAUUCUUGGUGCUCACAGCUUUAACUUUUAAAACUCUGCUACUUUAUAAUCUCCACCUCUGAGAUCCCUGUUAUCCCCGUUGUGCAAUUACUGUGGAUCGGAGUUGAAUUUAUUUUUACCCUCUUGUUUUUCCCUUCGCUGCAAUGCCUCUGGGAGUGAAUUCUGGGAAGAAUCUGCUUUGGUUUUAGGCUGUGUGGUGCCGCCUCCUCUCCCAUUAUCACUCCCUGCUUUCAAUGGCCCCAUUGUGCUGUCGGUGCCGGCACUUUGCUUGGUUUCAAGCAUGGGGAAGAAGUUGCUCCAUCCCGGGGCUUUCUCCCUUUGCUCAGCAGUGCUCUCCUGCUCUGGCUGCACAGGCAGGGCAGGUGGAGCGGCCACAGGAAGGAUUUGUGGUGUCAUUGCGUUGCAAAUGGGAUUUCUUUCAGGGCUGUUUUCUUGUGAAACCAUUGGCUUCUGCCACUGCUUGAGGAAGGAUGCAAAAAAACAUUCCGGUGAUGCAAAAAAAUCUUUUAAAGUAGAAUUAUUUUUACAUAAAUACUUUCUGACUGCAUCAAACCCUGUCCACUGUGCAUUCCUCAGGCUUUAUUGAAUCCCAGUCAAUUUCCUUCAUCUUUGUCUCAUUUCUCUUCAAAGUUGUCUCAUCUCGUCUCCGUGAUAUUUGUGUUGCUGUCCUUUCUGCAGACCCGCAUCUGCACUUCAGCCCUGGUGAGAGAUUACCGGCCCCACACCGGAGGUGUCCGUGGCUGCUGCACACCGGGUGCUGCCCCAUGCAGUCCCUGUUCAGGCUGACAGCACGAGGCAGCUGCUCUCCUGUGCGGGGCAGCCCUUUUCUAUGCGCCCCGUUGUUUCCCAAAGGAAGUAAAAUCCCCCCGGCCAAACUGCAUGCCCUGCUGACAUUUCCCCCAGGUCUUUUCCUUUCCUCUCCCCUUUUUGCCCAGCUCUCAGCUAUGCUGCUCAGUCCUUUCUUUGCUGCUGGUUGCCCACGGCACACUGUUAGCAGUGCGGGCUGUGGGGGUUUGUGUGGCGCAGUACGUUCACCUCUGAUGAAUAUUUUCGAUCCCAACGUGAGCACCUGGCUAAUGAGCUGUGGUUCCAGUGCUCGCUGCAGAAAUGUUGCAAACAUAAUGGGGACAAUAUUUGCUUAAAAUUUGUUUUGAACAUUUAUGGCAUUUUUUUCUUAGUUUGCGCAGUGGGUUUUUU